rnacentral:rRNA from 1 species
AGUGAACGCUGGCGGUAGGCCUAACACAUGCAAGUCGAACGGCAGCACAGUAAGAGCUUGCUCUUACGGGUGGCGAGUGGCGGACGGGUGAGGAAUACAUCGGAAUCUACUUUUUCGUGGGGGAGAACGUAGGGAAACUUACGCUAAUACCGCAUACGACCUACGGGUGAAAGCAGGGGAUCUUCGGACCUUGCGCGAUUGAAUGAGCCGAUGUCGGAUUAGCUAGUUGGCGGGGUAAAGGCCCACCAAGGCGACGAUCCGUAGCUGGUCUGAGAGGAUGAUCAGCCACACUGGAACUUGGACACGGUCCAGACUCCUACGGGAGGCAGCAGUGUGGAAUAUUGGACAAUGGGCGCAAGCCUGAUCCAGCCAUACCGCGUGGGUGAAGAAGGCCUUCGGGUUGUAAAGCCCUUUUGUUGGGAAAGAAAAGCAGCAGGUUAAUACCCCGCUGUUCUGACGGUACCCAAAGAAUAAGCACCGGCUAACUUCGUG